AGUGAUGAGGUGCAGAGCAGAGAAACGGGAGAACAAGAAAGAAAGAAAGAGGUGGUAACUCACUUCUCUGCCUAGUUUGGAAAACAAUAUCUGACUUUAAAAUGAAUGAUAUAAAAUGUUCAUCUUCCCUUCAGAAAAUACAAGUGUUGCUAAGUGCUGCUGUAGUGCUAUAUUGAUGAUAAUGAAAUUCAUGCAAUUUUUUUUUCACUGCUAUAGCUUUUCAUCUCCUGAUACUACACCCUACACAGCCCUAACAGUGGCAUAGGCUGUAUCUGUUUAAAUAUAAGAUGCAGACUCACUUAGAGAAAUAAAUGUUAUGCUGUUUUCUUUUUCUGGAGGGAUUGUCAUGGUUUUGUAACUUUGCUAUUGGUAUUCCACAUCAUAACAUCAUGGACAAAAGAGAAGAAGAACUACGUAUCCCAGAGGAACUCAUGGUCAGAGAAGGAAGAUACAUCACAGAAGAUACGUCAUCUGGCUGCGCGCGGUCUUUUUCACUUUCACUUGCUGCCAGAGAGAGGAGUGGGUGUGCUUCCAAGCCGUGCGCCUUCAUCAGAAUUCAGCAGUGACUUUUCCAGUCUACUUUUAUUUUUUUCUCUUCUGUCCUCUUCCUUCUCCCUCCCUCUCCUUCUUUGGAAGAUGUGAUGAAGAUGUCUCUAUUUUCAAGGAAAGAUUCUUUAUAAAUACUACUGCGACAAAUCCAUUACACAGCACAGAAGCAAACAGCGUGAUGUCAAACUCUCACUGAUAACUGAAGGUCCAAACCAGCACUGUUCCAAAAGAUCAAUGGGAUACACUUCUAAACUAAGAGAGUUUUAACUGGCUCUGUACAGCACAAAAGAAAAAUAAGAGAUCAAAUGUCAGACCCAGGAAAAAAUAUAUAUCACAAAACAGUGCAAUAACAAGCUUGUAUAAAAGGUGUGGGUUCCUUGCAACAAAACCAGGAACAUUUCCGGGAAGACUUUAGAUCCCAGAGUCAUGCAACCAUGUACAUGUUCAGAGAAGCUAAGGAUGUACAGCUGGAACGUCUCUCUUAAGCAAGUGACCAUCAGCAGAAGUACAGGCUUUGAGGAGCUUGUAAUGGAUCUUCACUGUCCCCUGCUGCUACAUCUGGCCUUCAAAAGGGAUACUGCAGUUCAAGCCAAAGCAGUCCCCCGGCUCUCCUCAGACACUUCUCUAUCUUUUGCUGAUAUUAUAUUUCCUAUUUGGAUGUAUGUAUUGAGUGGAAACAAAAACUCAUGCUCAGAUCAACAGCAACUGAAGUCAACCUUGGCUUUGUCCAUCCAAGUCAUGAAAAUCUUCAGGGAUGGAGAUACCUCAACCCCCCUGGCUACCAAGCUGUUUGAUUACCUCCACCCUUGUGAGUGUCCUUCCAAGAACUGCUAGACACUGCUAAGUUUGCCCUUGCUGCCCAUUCCUUUAUUGGAGAUCGAACCUUCCGCUGGACCCUUCUCAGACUCCUGAAUUUGGCACCGUUACUUCACGUCUGACCUUAGCACAAUGCUGAGUAGAAAGGAGACGUUAUUUCUGCUGAUUUCCUGGUGAUGAAUCUCCUCAGGUAACCCAGUUUGCCUAAUUGAAAAGAGACCUCAUUAAUCCAUAUCUGUUGGUAUCCAUUCCUAGAUCUUUUUCAACAAUCUGCUACUCUACUAAUCCAGUCUGAGCCUCUAUAGAUGCAUGGGGUUAUUCCAUUCAUAAGUAACUGAACAAACCCUCAAGUAUUCCAGUCAAUCAGUGAAUAAAUAGAGAAAUAAAUGAAAUUACAUGAUAAUACUACUAUUCUAAAGUACCACGUUGUAGUACAGUGUCCUACAGUAUAGGACUACACUAAUAUCCCUUUUCAUUUUCCUGUCUUGAAACCUUC
ensembl:lncRNA